UACGUAGGUGGCAAGCGUUAUCCGGAAUUAUUGGGCGUAAAGCGCGCGUAGGCGGUUUUUUAAGUCUGAUGUGAAAGCCCACGGCUCAACCGUGGAGAGUCAUUGGAAACUGGAAGACUUGAGUGUAGAAGAGGAAAGUGGAAUUCCAAGUGUAGCGGUGAAAUGCGCAGAGAUAUGGAGGAACACCAGUGGCGAAGGCGAGUGUCUGGUCUGUAACUGACGCUGAUGUGCGAAAGCUUGGGGAUCGAAAAGG
rnacentral:rRNA from 1 species